AAGCGGACUGAUCUGACUGAGUGGCGGACGGGUGAGUAACGCGUGGGUAACCUGCCCUGUACAGGGGGAUAACAGUUAGAAAUGACUGCUAAUACCGCAUGACACAUAGGUGUCGCAUGGCACUUAUGUCAAAGAUUUAUCGCUGAAAGAUGGCCUCGCGUCUGAUUAGCUAGUUGGUGGGGUAACGGCCUACCAAGGCGACGAUCAGUAGCCGACCUGAGAGGGUGACCGGCCACAUUGGGACUGAGACACGGCCCAAACUCC
rnacentral:rRNA from 1 species